GAUGAACGCUGGCGGCGUGCCUAAUACAUGCAAGUCGAGCGAACAGACGAGGAGCUUGCUCCUCUGACGUUAGCGGCGGACGGGUGAGUAACACGUGGAUAACCUACCUAUAAGACUGGGAUAACUUCGGGAAACCGGAGCUAAUACCGGAUAAUAUAUUGAACCGCAUGGUUCAAUAGUGAAAGACGGUUUUGCUGUCACUUAUAGAUGGAUCCGCGCCGCAUUAGCUAGUUGGUAAGGUAACGGCUUACCAAGGCAACGAUGCGUAGCCGACCUGAGAGGGUGAUCGGCCACACUGGAACUGAGACACGGUCCAGACUCCUACGGGAGGCAGCAGUAGGGAAUCUUCCGCAAUGGGCGAAAGCCUGACGGAGCAACGCCGCGUGAGUGAUGAAGGUCUUCGGAUCGUAAAACUCUGUUAUUAGGGAAGAACAAAUGUGUAAGUAACUAUGCACGUCUUGACGGUACCGAAUCAGAAAACCACGGCUAACUACGU
rnacentral:rRNA from 1 species